UACGGAGGGGGCUAGCGUUGUUCGGAAUUACUGGGCGUAAAGCGCGCGUAGGCGGCUUUUGUAAGUUAGAGGUGAAAGCCCGGAGCUCAACUCCGGAAUUGCCUUUAAGACUGCAUCGCUAGAAUUGUGGAGAGGUAAGUGGAAUUCCGAGUGUAGAGGUGAAAUUCGUAGAUAUUCGGAAGAACACCAGUGGCGAAGGCGACUCUCUGGUCUGUAACUGACGCUGAGGAGCGAAAGCGUGGGGAGCAACAGG
rnacentral:rRNA from 1 species